rnacentral:rRNA from 1 species
CGAGAGGACCGGAGUGGACGUACCUCUGGUGUUCCGGUUGUCACGCCAGUGGCACUGCCGGGUAGCUAAGUACGGAAGGGAUAACCGCUGAAAGCAUCUAAGCGGGAAGCCCCCCCCAAGAUGAGGUCUCCCCGGACCCUCGAGGUCCCUGAAGGGCCGUCGAAGACUACGACGUUGAUAGGCCGGGUGUGGAAGCGCAGCAAUGCGUGCAGCUAACCGGUACUAAUUGCCCGUGAGGCUUGACCAU